rnacentral:rRNA from 1 species
UGGGGAAUAUUGCACAAUGGGGGAAACCCUGAUGCAGCCAUGCCGCGUGUGUGAAGAAGGCCCUAGGGUUGUAAAGCACUUUCAGCGAGGAGGAAAGGGUGUAGGUUAAUACCCUGCAUCUGUGACGUUACUCGCAGAAGAAGCACCGGCUAACUCCGUGCCAGCAGCCGCGGUAAUACGGAGGGUGCGAGCGUUAAUCGGAAUUACUGGGCGUAAAGCGUACGCAGGCGGUUGGUUAAGCGAGAUGUGAAAUCCCCAGGCUCAACCUGGGAACUGCAUUUCGAACUGGCCAACUAGAGUAUGAGAGAGGGUGGUAGAAUUUCAGGUGUAGCGGUGAAAUGCGUAGAGAUCUGAAGGAAUACCGAUGGCGAAGGCAGCCACCUGGUUCAAUACUGACGCUCAUGUACGAAAGCGUGGGGAGCAAACAGGAUUAGAUACCCGUGUAGUCC